rnacentral:rRNA from 1 species
GACGAACGCUGGCGGCGUGCUUAACACAUGCAAGUCGAGCGGAAAGGCCACUUCGGUGGUACUCGAGCGGCGAACGGGUGAGUAACACGUGAGUAAUCUGCCCUUGGCUUUGGGAUAGCCACCGGAAACGGUGAUUAAUACCGGAUAUGCACUACUUCUCGCAUGGGUUGUGGUGGAAAGUUUUUCGGCCAGGGAUGUGCUCGCGGCCUUUCAGCUUGAUGGUGAGGUAAUGGCUUACCAUGGCUUCGACGGGUAGCAGGCCUGAGAGGGUGACCGGGCACACUGGGACUGAGACACGGCCCAGACUCCUACGGGAGGCAGCAGUGGGGAAUAUUGGACAAUGGGCGGAAGCCUGAUCCAGCAACGCCGCGUGAGGGAUGACGGCCUUCGGGUUGUAAACCUCUUUCGGUAGGGACGAAGCGCAAGUGACGGUACCUACUAAAGAAGCACCGGCCAACUACGUGCCAGCCGCCGCCGUAAUAC